CCUACGGGUGGCAGCAGUGGGGAAUAUUGGACAAUGGGCGAAAGCCUGAUCCAGCCAUGCCGCGUGUGUGAAGAAGGCCUUCGGGUUGUAAAGCACUUUCAGUGGGGAAGAAAGCCUUGGGGCUAAUACCCUCGAGGAAGGACAUCACCCACAGAAGAAGCACCGGCUAACUCCGUGCCAGCAGCCGCGGUAAUACGGAGGGUGCGAGCAUUAAUCGGAAUUACUGGGCGUAAAGCGCGCGUAGGCGGUCUGAUAAGCCGGUUGUGAAAGCCCCGGGCUCAACCUGGGAACGGCAUCCGGAACUGUCAGGCUAGAGUGCAGGAGAGGAAGGUAGAAUUCCCGGUGUAGCGGUGAAAUGCGUAGAGAUCGGGAGGAAUACCAGUGGCGAAGGCGGCCUUCUGGACUGACACUGACGCUGAGGUGCGAAAGCGUGGGUAGCAAACAGGAUUAGAUACCCUGGUAGUC
rnacentral:rRNA from 1 species